AGCGAACGCUGGCGGCAGGCCUAACACAUGCAAGUCGAACGAACCUUUCGGGGUUAGUGGCGGACGGGUGAGUAACACGUGGGAACGUGCCUUUAGGUUCGGAAUAACUCAGGGAAACUUGUGCUAAUACCGAAUGUGCCCUUCGGGGGAAAGAUUUGUCGCCUUUAGAGCGGCCCGCGUCUGAUUAGCUAGUUGGUUGAGGUAAUGGCUCACCAAGGCGACGAUCAGUAGCUGGUCUGAGAGGAUGAUCAGCCACAUUGGGACUGAGACACGGCCCAAACUCCUACGGGAGGCAGCAGUGGGGAAUCUUGCGCAAUGGGCGAAAGCCUGACGCAGCCAUGCCGCGUGAAUGAUGAAGGUCUUAGGAUUGUAAAAUUCUUUCAACGGGGACGAUAAUGACGGUACCCGGAGAAGAAGCCCCGGCUAACUUCGUG
rnacentral:rRNA from 1 species